rnacentral:rRNA from 1 species
GUAGGUGGCAAGCGUUGUCCGGGAAUUAUUGGGCGUAAAGCGCGCGCAGGCGGUUCUUUAAGUCUGAUGUGAAAGCCCACGGGCUCAACCGUGGAGGGUCAUUGGAAACUGGAGAACUUGAGUACAGAAGAGGAAAGCGGAAUUCCACGUGUAGCGGUGAAAUGCGUAGAGAUGUGGAGGAACACCAGUGGCGAAGGCGGCUUUCCGGUCUGUAACUGACGCUGAGGCGCGAAAGCGUGGGGAGCAAACAGGAUUAGAUACCCUGGUAGUCCACGCCGUAAACGAUGAGUGCUAAGUGUUAGGGGGUUUCCGCCCCUUAGUGCUGCAGCUAACGCAUUAAGCACUCCGCCUGGGGAGUACGGCCGCAAAGGCUG